AUCUAGCUGACGAGUGCAAAAUAGGACGAAACGCGUGUCCUGGAU
rnacentral:hammerhead_ribozyme from 1 species